AACGAACGCUGGCGGCAGGCUUAACACAUGCAAGUCGAGCGCAUCCUUCGGGGUGAGCGGCAGACGGGUGAGUAACGCGUGGGAAUCUACCUUUUGCUACGGAAUAGCUCCGGGAAACUGGAAUUAAUACCGUAUGUGCCCUUAGGGGGAAAGAUUUAUCGGCAAGAGAUGAGCCCGCGUUGGAUUAGCUAGUUGGUGGGGUAAAGGCCUACCAAGGCGACGAUCCAUAGCUGGUCUGAGAGGAUGAUCAGCCACAUUGGGACUGAGACACGGCCCAAACUCCUACGGGAGGCAGCAGUGGGGAAUAUUGGACAAUGGGCGCAAGCCUGAUCCAGCCAUGCCGCGCGAGUGAUGAAGGCCUUAGGGUUGUAAAGCUCUUUCACCGGAGAAGAUAAUGACGGUAUCCGGAGAAGAAGCCCCGGCUAACUUCGUG
rnacentral:rRNA from 1 species